rnacentral:rRNA from 1 species
UACGAAGGGGGCUAGCGUUGUUCGGAUUUACUGGGCGUAAAGCGCACGUAGGCGGUUUGUUAAGUGAGAGGUGAAAUCCCAGAGCUCAACUCUGGAACUGCCUUUCAUACUGGCAGCUAGAGUCCGGAAGAGGUAAGUGGAACUCCUAGUGUAGAGGUGGAAUUCGUAGAUAUUAGGAAGAACACCAGUGGCGAAGGCGGCUUACUGGUCCGGAACUGACGCUGAGGUGCGAAAGCGUGGGGAGCAAACAGG